rnacentral:rRNA from 1 species
CGUCCCGUUCCCAUACCGAACACGGAAGUUAAGCUCUUCAGCGCCGAUGGUAGUCGGGGGUUUCCCCCUGUGAGAGUAGGACGCCGCCAAGC